rnacentral:rRNA from 1 species
AUGGAAUUGAGUUUGUCUCAUACGCUUCAUCUUUUUAAUAUCUUUCGUGCGUAUGAUGGAAAGGAAAAUUGUGCCAAAGUGUUAGAAGAAGAAUGCAUUAAAAUAUUUGGCACUAAAUAUUUGAAUGAUGAUCAUGAUUGCAAUGUUGUUAGUAUGAACUCCUUGAAUAUCCAUGAUACUAUUGAUAUGCAAAACCACAAGCUUGGGGAAGCUAUGUUUGAUGAAGAUGAUAUUUUUUGUCCCCCAAGUUUUGAUGAGCAAAUUUAUUAUGAUGAAAGCAUGCCUCCUAUUUAUGAUGAUUAUAUUGAGGAAAGUGGAUUUGGAGAGGUCAUGACUUUAUUUUGUGAUGAAUCCACUAUUUCGAAAGAGGUUCCAAUUGAUUAUGAGAACAAAGUUGCUAUGUAUGAUGAUUAUUGUGAUGAAUUGUAUGCUAUAAAGAAUAAUGAUAUCCAUGAAACUUGUCAUCAUGAUUUUAGUUUUCAAUUGGAUUAUGCCUCACAUGAUAAUUAUUUUGUUGAGUUUGCUCCCACUAUUAUUCAUGAGAAGAAUUUUGCUUGUGUGGAGAGUAAUAAAAAUUCUAUGCUUGUAGAUCAUGAAAAGAAUGCUUUAUGUGAUGGUUAUAUUGUUGAAUUAAUUCAUGAUUCUACUGAAAAUUAUUAUGAGGGAUGA